AUUGAACGCUGGCGGCAGGCCUAACACAUGCAAGUCGAACGAGUGGGGGGCGGGUGAGUAAUGUCGGGGAAACUGCCUUAUGGAGGGGGUUAACUCCUGGAAACGGUAGCUAAUACCGCAUAGCAUUAGAUGUGCCCAGGUGGGAUUAGCUAGUUGGUAGGGUAACGGCUCACCAAGGCGACGAGCCCUAGCUGGUCUGAGAGGGUGACCAGCCACACUGGAACUGAGACACGGUCCAGACUCCUACGGGAGGCAGCAGUGGGGAAUCUUGCACAAUGGGCGCAAGCCUGACGCAGCCAUGCCGCGUGUAUGAAGAAGGCCUUCGGGUUGUAAAGUACUUUCAGCGGGGAGGCGGUACCCGAAGAAAAAGCAACGGCUAACUCCGUGCCAGCCGCCGCGGUAAUUC
rnacentral:rRNA from 1 species